ACCAUUCACAUUCACAAUCACACCUAGGGACAAUUUAGAGCAUGAGUGUCAAACCCAUUUUCGUCACGGGCCACGUUUUAGUUAGCAUUUCCCUUGGAGGGCCAUUAUGACUGAAAUCAUAU